UCCGUAGGUGAACCUGCGGAAGGAUCAUUACAGAAAUAGGAGAAGGUUGCUUAACUGCAAUCCUUUUCUUUCUACACAUGUGUUUUUCUUUUUUUUGAAAACUUUGCUUUGGUGGGCCCACGGCCUGCCAGAGAUUAAACUCAACCAAAUUUUUAUUUAAUUGUCAACUUGAUUAACUAAUAGUCAAAACUUUCAACAACGGAUCUCUUGGUUCUCGCAUCGAUGAAGAACGCAGCGAAAUGCGAUACGUAAUGUGAAUUGCAGAAUUCAGUGAAUCAUCGAAUCUUUGAACGCACAUUGCGCCCCUUGGUAUUCCGAGGGGCAUGCCUGUUCGAGCGUCAUUACACCACUCAAGCUAUGCUUGGUAUUGGGCGCCGUCCUUAGUUGGGCGCGCCUCAAAGACCUCGGCGAGGCCUCACCGGCUUUAGGCGUAGUAGAAUUUAUUCGAACGUCUGUCAAGGGAGAGGACUUCUGCCGACUGAAACCUUUUAUUUUUCUAGGUUGACCUCGGAUCAGGUAGGGAUACCCGCUGGACUUAAGCAUAUCAAUAAGCGGAGGA
rnacentral:rRNA from 1 species